rnacentral:rRNA from 1 species
AUUGAACGCUGGCGGCAUGCUUUACACAUGCAAGUCGAGCGGCAGCGCGGGGGCAACCCUGGCGGCGAGCGGCGAACGGGUGAGUAAUGCAUCGGAACGUACCCUGGAGUGGGGGAUAACGCCGCGAAAGCGGCGCUAAUACCGCAUAUGCUCUGAGGAGGAAAGUGGGGGACCGCAAGGCCUCACGCUCUGGGAGCGGCCGAUGUCCGAUUAGCUAGUUGGUGAGGUAAAGGCUUACCAAGGCGACGAUCGGUAGCUGGUCUGAGAGGAUGAUCAGCCACACUGGGACUGAGACACGGCCCAGACUCCUACGGGAGGCAGCAGUGGGGAAUUUUGGACAAUGGGGGCAAGCCUGAUCCAGCCAUGCCGCGUGAGUGAAGAAGGCCUGGUU